GUGCCAGCCGCCGCGGUAAUACGGAGGGGGCCAGCGUUGUUCGGAAUUAUUGGGCGUAAAGGGCGCGUAGGUGGCCAUGCAAGUCGGAGGUGAAAUCCCUCGGCUCAACCGAGGAACUGCCUCCGAUACUGCACGGCUUGAGUCCCGGAGAGGGUGGUGGAAUUCCCAGUGUAGCGGUGAAAUGCGUAGAUAUUGGGAGGAACACCGGUGGCGAAGGCGGCCACCUGGACGGGUACUGACGCUGAUGCGCGAAAGCGUGGGGAGCAAACAGGAUUAGAUACCCCCGUAGUCC
rnacentral:rRNA from 1 species